rnacentral:rRNA from 1 species
GUGGGGAAUAUUGGACAAUGGGCGCAAGCCUGAUCCAGCCAUGCCGCGUGAGUGAUGAAGGCCCUAGGGUUGUAAAGCUCUUUCACCGGAGAAGAUAAUGACGGUAUCCGGAGAAGAAGCCCCGGCUAACUUCGUGCCAGCAGCCGCGGUAAUACGAAGGGGGCUAGCGUUGUUCGGAAUUACUGGGCGUAAAGCGCACGUAGGCGGACAUUUAAGUCAGGGGUGAAAUCCCAGAGCUCAACUCUGGAACUGCCUUUGAUACUGGGUGUCUUGAGUAUGGAAGAGGUAAGUGGAAUUCCGAGUGUAGAGGUGAAAUUCGUAGAUAUUCGGAGGAACACCAGUGGCGAAGGCGGCUUACUGGUCCAUUACUGACGCUGAGGUGCGAAAGCGUGGGGAGCAAACAGGAUUAGAAACCCGUGUAGUCC